AUGAGGCUGCUCUCUUCCGCUUCCACGAUCUGCAAGAAGUGGUGCCGUCUUGUCACCGAUCGCUGCUUCCUCGGACGCCCCUGGCCAGGGUACUCCCCAUCGUCUUUCGUUGCCUUCUUCACCGAGGGAAAUCGCCAUGAGGAACUGGACGCAGGGUGUUUGCCUGGCCCGGAGCCAUGCUUCAUCCCGGCACGGCGAUCUGCUCUGGGCCCUUGCCGCCACUCCUUGGGAUCCUUUGUGACCCCAUCCCACGCCGGCCUCUUCAGCGCCGUGUUGCCGCUCAUCUCACGCCACGACCUUGUUGUUGUGCGUCUUGAAGCACACGACACCACCGGCUAUCCGGACAAGACCAUCUUUCAAUUGGGUGUAUGCAACCUGCAUGCAGCCACGUGCGUCAUGCUCCGUCCUCUAAAAGUUAGCCCAAUCUUCUACGACUACGACUGUAAUGCCUAUGCCAUUCUGACCAGUGUAGAUUGUUGCUCAAAAGAUGCGUUAACACCUACGGUGCCGCCGAGCAACCCUUCAUCUUUCUUCCAAGUGGUCAUCAUCGGAUAUACCGGUGAUGACUUCAAGUACAAUCUCCAUAUGUUCUCGUCCGACAAAUCAAGUGGGCACAAACGUACCAAUUGCUUCGACAGUGAUGCGCAGUCAUACGACUAUGGGUCGUUUAGCGAUGCCAUUGUGCACAGUGGCUUGGCACACUGGAUAUUUCAUAAUUAUGGAGAAGGGUGCCUUCAAGUCAUUAAUUUUUGGAUGCUAAGACAGGCAAUAUCUCCUUCACGAAACUGCCUUUGA
rnacentral:rRNA from 1 species